CCUACGGUGUGCAGCAGUGGGGGAUAUUGCACAAUGGGGGAAACCCUGAUGCAGCGACGCCGCGUGGGCGAAGAAGUAUUUCGGUAUGUAAAGCCCUAUCAGCAGGGAAGAAGAAAUGACGGUCCCUGAGUAAGAAGCACCGGCUAAAUACGUGCCAGCAGCCGCGGUAAUACGUAUGGUGCAAGCGUUAUCCGGAUUUACUGGGUGUAAAGGGAGCGCAGGCGGCACGGCAAGCCUGAUGUGAAAGCCCGCGGCCCAACCGCGGGACUGCAUUGGGAACUACCGGGCUGGAGUGCCGGAGCGGGAGGCGGAAUGCCGAGUGGAGGGGGGAAAGGCGUAGAUAUUGGGAGGAACACCAGUGGAGAAGG
rnacentral:rRNA from 1 species